AGCCAAUAGAUACCCAGGUAGUCCACGCCGUAAACUAUGGAUGCUAGCUGUUAGAGGUAUCGACCCCUCUAGUAGCGAAAGCUAACGCGUUAAGCAUCCCGCCUGUGGAGUACGGUCGCAAGACUAAAACAUAAAGGAAUUGACGGGGACCCGCACAAGCGGUGGAGCGUGUUGUUUAAUUCGAUGGUAAGCGAAGAACCUUACCCAGGCUUGACAUCCUUGGAAUUUUGGCGAAAGCCGAGAGUGCCUUCGGGAACCAAGUGACAGGUGUUGCAUGGCCGUCGUCAGCUCGUGUCGUGAGAUGUUUGGUUAAGUCCAUCAACGAGCGCAACCCUUAUAGUUAGUUGAAUUUUCUAGCUAGACUGCCCUGGCAACAGGGAGGAAGGAGGGGAUGAUGUCAGGUCAGUAUUACCCUUACGUCUGGGGCUACAAACACGCUACAAUGGCCGGUACAAAGGGCAGCCAAGUCGCGAGACGGAGCAAAUCCCAUCAAAGCCGGUCUAAGUUCGGAUAGCAGGCUGAAACUCGCCUGCUUGAAG
rnacentral:rRNA from 1 species